GGGUGAUCUGGCUUGGAUAUCUGUCACCCCGCUGAUCACCAUGGUUGACUGGGAUGAUCUGGCUAGCUAGGCUGGUGUUCCCUUCCCCCC
rnacentral:sRNA from 1 species